rnacentral:rRNA from 1 species
GAUGAACGCUGGCGGCGUGCCUAAUACAUGCAAGUAGAACGCUGAAGGAAGGAGCUUGCUCUUUCCGGAUGAGUUGCGAACGGGUGAGUAACGCGUAGGUAACCUGCCUGGUAGCGGGGGAUAACUAUUGGAAACGAUAGCUAAUACCGCAUAACAGUAGAUGUUGCAUGAUAUCUACUUAAAAGGUGCAAUUGCACCACUACCAGAUGGACCUGCGUUGUAUUAGCUAGUUGGUGAGGUAACGGCUCACCAAGGCGACGAUACAUAGCCGACCUGAGAGGGUGAUCGGCCACACUGGGACUGAGACACGGCCCAGACUCCUACGGGAGGCAGCAGGAGGGAAUCUUCGGCAAUGGACGGAAGUCUGACCGAGCAACGCCGCGUGAGUGAAGAAGGGUUUCGGAUCGUAAAGCUCUGUUGUAAGAGAAGAACGAGUGUGAGAGUGGAAAGUUCACACUGUGACGGUAGCUUACCAGAAAGGGACGGCUAACUACGUG